GUCCUUUUUAACUUUGCUUAGUUGCCCUGAAACAGAGGUUGUCUUAAAAUUUUCUGAUGCAUAUUAUUGAAGUACUCAAAGUUUUGCAUAAUCAGCAUUUUGUUUAAAAAAUAUUUUCUGUAGUGCUGCAGGGGUGACGAUGAAUAUGAUUUAAAGUUUAUUUUUCCUUUCCUCCCUCUUUCUUUUUGAAUGGAUACCAUGCAACUUUACGGGCUACUUAUCAUUGAAAGUUAUUUCUUGACAAGUUCCUAUUUGCCGUGAUAUGGCAACAUUCAUUGAUAGUCUGAGACAUGUAAACUGUGAUUAAAACUGCAGUUUUUGGAAAAUCUUCAUUAUUGCAAAUUUGUAAUCAUUUUAAAUUUGGAACAAAAAGGAACCUGGACACCACUUAUUGAAUAUUCAAUCUGAUUAGUCUAGGUAUCAGGUGGGACUUAAUAGGUUCUUAUUUGUGGCAAAUUUCUUUGAUUUGAUUUGCAAGUAUAUGCACAUAUUAGUAUAUAAUGGGACCAGUAUUUGGAGAAUAGGCUUGACUUUAUUGCAUUUUAUUUCUUGUUUAGGUUAUUAAAGGGCAAUUCUUUUGAAAUGUAAUAAAUAAGGUGGUUGUCACUUUUGAUAGG
rnacentral:misc_RNA from 1 species